CUACUACUCCCUCCGUCCGAAAAUACUUGUCAUUGAAAUGGAUGUAUAUAGAUGUAUUUUAGUUCUAGACACAUCCAUUUUGAUGACAAGUAAUUCCGGACGGAGGGAGUAUUAU
rnacentral:pre_miRNA from 1 species